rnacentral:rRNA from 1 species
CCUACGGGUGGCAGCAGUGAGGAAUAUUGGUCAAUGGGCUUACGCCUGAACCAGCCAAGUCGCGUGAGGGAAGACUGCCCUAUGGGUUGUAAACCUCUUUUGUCAGAGAGCAACGCCGGCUACGUGUAGCCGGACGGAGAGGACCUGAAGAAAAAGCAGCGGCUAACUCCGGGCCAGCAGCCGCGGUAAUACGUAGGGGGCAAGCGUUAUCCGGAUUUAAUGGGUGUAACGGGAACGUAGACGGCAGCGCAAGUCGGAAGUGAAAUGCCGGGGCUUAACCCCGGAACUGCUUUGGAAACUGUGCAGCUAGAGUGCAGGAGAGGUAAGUGGAAUUCCUUGUGUAGCGGUGAAAUGCGUAGAUAUUAGGAGGACCCCCAGUGGCGACGGCGGCUUACUGGACUGUAACUGACGUUGAGGCUCGAAAGCGUGGGGAGCAAACAGGAUUAGAUACCCCUGUAGUC